ACACGAUCGGAAAUGUGUGUCCAAGCAGCAAGUCUGAGAACGAGUGAAAUGCUUUUUCUCUCAAGGACAAGCUGUGAUGGGGAGCGAAAUUUAGUAGCGAAGUUCCUGAUGUCACACUGCCAAGAAAAGCUUCUAGUGAGAAAGUAACUGCCCGUACCGCAAACCGACACAGGUAGUUUAGGAGAGAAUCCUAAGGUGUGCGAGAGAACUCUCGUUAAGGAACUCGGCAAAAUGACCCCGUAACUUCGGGAGAAGGGGUGCUGACCGCAAGGUCAGCCGCAGUGAAUAGGCCCAAGCGACUGUUUAUCAAAAACACAGGUCUCUGCAAAAUCGAAAGAUGACGUAUAGGGGCUGACGCCUGCCCGGUGCUGGAAGGUUAAGAGGAGAGGUUAGCGCAAGCGAAGCUUUGAAUUGAAGCCCCAGUAAACGGCGGCCGUAACGAUAACGGUCCUAAGGUAGCGAAAUUCCUUGUCGGGUAAGUUCCGACCCGCACGAAAGGCGUAACGAUUUGGGCACUGUCUCAACGAGAGACUCGGUGAAAUUAUAGUACCAGUGAAGAUGCUGGUUACCCGCGACAGGACGGAAAGACCCCAUGGAGCUUUACUGCAGUUUGAUAUUGCGUGUUUGUAUCACAUGUACAGGAUAGGUAGGAGCCGAAGAUACCGGGACGCCAGUCUCGGAGGAGGCAACGGUGGGAUACUACCCUUGUGAUAUGACCACUCUAACCCGCUGCUCUUAGCGAGCAGGGAGACAGUGUCAGACGGGCAGUUUGACUGGGGCGGUCGCCUCCAAAAAUGUAACGGAGGCGCCCAAAGGUUCCCUCAGAAUGGUUGGAAAUCAUUCGUAGAGUGUAAAGGCAGAAGGGAGCUUGACUGCGAGACCUACAAGUCGAGCAGGGACGAAAGUCGGGCUUAGUGAUCCGGUGGUUCCGCAUGGAAGGGCCAUCGCUCAACGGAUAAAAGCUACCCUGGGGAUAACAGGCUUAUCUCCCCCAAGAGUUCACAUCGACGGGGAGGUUUGGCACCUCGAUGUCGGCUCAUCGCAUCCUGGGGCUGUAGUCGGUCCCAAGGGUUGGGCUGUUCGCCCAUUAAAGCGGUACGCGAGCUGGGUUCAGAACGUCGUGAGACAGUUCGGUCCCUAUCCGUCGCGGGCGUUGGAAAUUUGAGAGGAGCUGUCCUUAGUACGAGAGGACCGGGAUGGACACACCGCUGGUGUACCAGUUGUUCUGCCAAGAGCAUCGCUGGGUAGCUAUGUGUGGACGGGAUAAACGCUGAAAGCAUCUAAGCGUGAAGCCCCCCUCAAGAUGAGAUUUCCCAUCACUUUAAGUGAGUAAGACCCCUGAGAGAUGAUCAGGUAGAUAGGUUGGGAGUGGAAGUACAGCGAUGUAUGGAGCGGACCAAUACUAAUCGGUCGAGGACUUAACCUG
rnacentral:rRNA from 1 species